GACGAACGCUGGCGGCGUGCUUAACACAUGCAAGUCGAACGGAAAGGCCCUGCUUUUGUGGGGUGCUCGAGUGGCGAACGGGUGAGUAACACGUGAGUAACCUGCCCUUGACUUUGGGAUAACUUCAGGAAACUGGGGCUAAUACCGGAUAGGAGCUCCUGCUGCAUGGUGGGGGUUGGAAAGUUUCGGCGGUUGGGGAUGGACUCGCGGCUUAUCAGCUUGUUGGUGGGGUAGUGGCUUACCAAGGCUUUGACGGGUAGCCGGCCUGAGAGGGUGACCGGCCACAUUGGGACUGAGAUACGGCCCAGACUCCUACGGGAGGCAGCAGUGGGGAGUAUUGCACAAUGGGCGGAAGCCUGAUGCAGCAACGCCGCGUGCGGGAGGACGGCCUUCGGGUUGUAAACCGCUUUCGCCUGUGACGAAGCGUGAGGGACGGUAAUGGGUAAAGAAACACCGGCUAACUACGU
rnacentral:rRNA from 1 species